CCUGACGAUCUUGAGGCCAACCACCGCCUAUGCAAUGACCUACAACAAGUAUUCGUCCAACCACGUUCUAAGUUUCCAAUCCACCCAACCACGCACGAAGUUGGAAGCACGGAGAGACUGUCGUCGAGGCAAAGAGGUUGACCUUGUCCACAACUUCCAGUGAGUUUUCUCAGUGCUAAUGUUCAGUCAGCACUGCCGAGUGAUGUAUUGUCGGUACUGCUGAGAUGACUUGUGUUGAGGAGAAGCUUUCUAUCGCGCGUCGGCACUACCCGCCGGUGAUAGAAUGGUUAUGUGACUGGUCGUUACUGCUGACUUGGUGAUGUCCAGCACUGUUGAUGCACUGGAAAAUGCUUUGUCCGCUAACACCUUUUAGUCGCCUCGCUUAGUGACUUUUGUCAAGCGAGUGUGUUGUAAAGGGUUUGCACUGCCAACUGGCUGCGUAUCGGCACUACCGACGUCUCGAUAUUUCACCGAAGUUUGAAGUUCAAACUCGACAUUGCCGACUUGGUGUCUAUGUACCCCUCCACCCCGUUGGGUUGAGAGAGUAGUUGUUUCAUUUUUGUUUUUUAGAAAGUUGUUGUUGUUUUCCUUCUUCCCAAGAGCUCUCAUUUAUAUUUCUCGAGUGAUAUUUGAGAAGAACUUCUAGAGAUUGGAUUUCUUGGAGCAACCUCGAGUUUGGAGGUUGUCUCUCUAGUCAGCUAAAUAAUGCUUGGAACUCUUCGAAAUUGUGAAGAAGCCAAAAUAGAAUGAGGUUUUGGGAUUUUCCUAUGAAAAUCCACCCUAGGAUUGGGCUACACGAGUUUAAUGGCGGGGGACUUUGUGGCAGCCUCUCAAACGGAGUAGGAUCACACCAAUGAUCCAACUUCGGGGAACAAAUCUCUUGUCCUUCUACUUGUUUACUCCGUGCACUUCACCUUUUGCAAGCAGUGACUUCAGUAUUUCCUUGUUGGUCGAACUUCAUGUGUUCGGGUUUACCACUUUCAUGUUUCAUCACGUGGCAUAUAUUCACUAGGGCUAAAAUUUGGUGGUCAAGAAUAUGACCAGAGGCCAGAGGACGCUGUGCAACACGUUAUCCAAGUGAAGUCAAGAACGAUAACGAUAACGCGAGUGAAGGAGAACCUGGCAAUUUCAGACAGAAGGCCAACGUUGUCGCAGUAGAAAAGGCAGAACAAGACUAGCUGGGGAGAAGAAAUCAGAGCUCUUCAUUUCUGCGCAGAUAGCACAUCAGAGCUCCGUCAUUUCUGCUCAGCUCGAAGAGGACCAGACGAGCAGACCGUCGUGGACAAAUGAGCCAUCGAAGACGGCACCUCAGCCCUAUCACCAUCGCUCGGCUAAAGUAGGAACAGAAAGGACGCAUCACAAUCGACAAGUCCCAGAAGAUUAUUCACAGCCCCGUGGAUCGAGUCCCAGAAGAUUAUUCUUAUCUCUGUGGAUUGACAUGUUAGAGUACUACGUAACGUAGCUCUUGGCCUCAGCAGAUUGCUCCUCACCUAGUACUAAAUAUUUAGGCCAGCUGAUUUGCUUCGUUAUCUGUACAAAUCAAACUGCUGCAUCUGACCCCGGAGCAUGGAACACACAAGCUUAAUAAUAACAAUAUUCUCCGUACUAUACUUCCUCAUGCCGAGUCCUUAACAAGAUAUAACAAUGGAGUACUACAAGAAGAGGGUAUUAAAAA